rnacentral:rRNA from 1 species
UACGGGGGGAGCAAGCGUUGUUCGGAUUUACUGGGCGUAAAGGGCGCGUAGGCGGCGCAACAAGUCACUUGUGAAAUCUUCCGGCUUAACCGGGAGCGGUUAUGCCAGACUGUCAGUCUUGAGUGCGAGAGAGGAGCGUGGAAUUCCGGGUGUAGUGGUGAAAUGCGUAGAGAUCCGGAGGAACCCCAGAGGCGAAGGCGGCGCUCUGGCUCGCAACUGACGCUCAGACACGACAGCAUGGGGAGCGAACGGG